rnacentral:tRNA from 1 species
UGGGGGAUCGUCUAAUGGCAGGACGGCUGGUUCUGGUCCAGUUAAUCGGGGUUCGAGUCCCUGUCCCCCAGCCA